rnacentral:rRNA from 1 species
UCGUGGGGGAUAACGAGGCGAAAGCUUUGCUAAUACCGCAUACGAUCUACGGAUGAAAGCGGGGGAUCUUCGGACCUCGCGCGGACGGAGCGGCCGAAGGCAGAUUAGGUAGUUGGUGGGGUAAAGGCUCACCAAGCCGACGAUCUGUAGCUGGUCUGAGAGGAUGAUCAGCCACACUGGGACUGAGACACGGCCCAGACUCCUACGGGAGGCAGCAGUGGGGAAUUUUGGACAAUGGGGGCAACCCUGAUCCAGCCAUGCCGCGUGCAGGAUGAAGGCCUUCGGGUUGUAAACUGCUUUUGUACGGAACGAAAAGCUCUCCUCUAAUAAAGGGGGGUCAUGACGGUACCGUAAGAAUAAGCACCGGCUAACUACGUGCCAGCAGCCGCGGUAAUACGUAGGGUGCAAGCGUUAAUCGGAAUUACUGGGCGUAAAGCGUGCGCAGGCGGUUUUGUAAGACAGAGGUGAAAUCCCCGGGCUCAACCUGGGAACUGCCUUUGUGACUGCAAGGCUGGAGUGCGGCAGAGGGGGAUGGAAUUCCGCGUGUAGCAGUGAAAUGCGUAGAUAUGC